GCGGCCAUAGUUUAGUGGUAAAACGGGAUCUUGCCAAGAUUCAGUCGCGGUUUCGAUUACCGCUGGCCGCA
rfam:Candidatus Wildermuthbacteria bacterium RIFCSPHIGHO2_02_FTLL_49_9 rifcsphigho2_02_scaffold_13951, whole genome shotgun sequence.